rnacentral:rRNA from 1 species
CCUACGGGAGGCUGCAGUGGGGAAUAUUGGACAAUGGGGGCAACCCUGAUCCAGCAAUUCUGUGUGCACGAAGACGGUUUUCGGAUUGUAAAGUGCUUUCAGCAGGGAAGAAGGAAGUGACGGUACCUGCAGAAGAAGCGACGGCUAAAUACGUGCCAGCAGCCGCGGUAAUACGUAUGUCGCGAGCGUUAUCCGGAAUUAUUGGGCAUAAAGGGCAUCUAGGCGGCCUUUCAAGUCAGGGGUGAAAACCUGCGGCUCAACCGCAGGCCUGCCCUGGAAACUAUGUGGCUAGAGUACUGGAGAGGUGGACGGAACUGCACGAGUAGAGGUGAAAUUCGUAGAUAUGUGCAGGAAUGCCGAUGAUGAAGAUAGUUCACUGGACGGUAACUGACGCUGAAGUGCGAAAGCUAGGGGAGCAAACAGGAUUAGAUACCCUAGUA